rnacentral:rRNA from 1 species
GAUGAACGCUGGCGGCGCGCCUAACACAUGCAAGUCGAACGAUUAAAGCACCUUCGGGUGUGUAUAAAGUGGCGAACGGCUGAGUAACACGUGGGCAACCUGCCCCUCUCAUUGGGAUAGCCACGGGAAACCGUGGAUAAUACCGAAUACUUCGGGACUUCCGCAUGGAAGACUCGAGAAAGCUCCGGCGGAGAGGGAUGGGCCCGCGGCCUGUUAGCUUGUUGGUGGGGUAAUGGCCUACCAAGGCAAUGAUGGGUAGCCGGGUUGAGAGACCGACCAGCCAGAUUGGGACUGAGACACGGCCCAGACUCCUACGGGAGGCAGCAGUGGGGAAUCUUGCACAAUGGGCGAAAGCCUGAUGCAGCGACGCCGCGUGCGGGAUGAAGGCCUUCGGGUUGUAAACCGCUUUCAGCAGGGACGAGGCGAAAGUGACGGUACCUGCAGAAGAAGCCCCGGCUAACUACGUG